UACGGGGGGGGCAAGCGUUGUUCGGAAUUACUGGGCGUAAAGGGCUCGUAGGCGGCCAACUUAGUCGGACGUGAAAUCCCCAGGCUCAACCUGGGAACUGCGUCCGAUACUGGAUGGCUUGAAUCCGGGAGAGGGAUGCAGAAUUCCAGGUGUAGCGGUGAAAUGCGUAGAUAUCUGGAGGAAUACCGGUGGCGAAGGCGGCAUCCUGGACCGGCAUUGACGCUGAGGAGCGAAAGCCAGGGGAGCAAACGGG
rnacentral:rRNA from 1 species